UCUUUAAUUUCAAGAAGAUAGAGUUGGAGGGAGUUGGAGUUGAGGCCCAAAACCGAGGCCCAGGAGAAGGCCCAAGAUCCAUCUAGAGACUUCUCUUCCUCCUCCUCCUCCUCGCAUUUCUUCAUCUCACAGCCGACCCUCCAAAAACCCUAGCGAGGCUUCUACUUCUAUAAAGCCCCUUCUCCAUCCUCCCUCUCUGCAAAUCGGCGACCCAGCGAGCCCUUUCUGAUGCGGACUCCGGUUUGGGUUCUUCGAGCUUCGCCUCUUUCUUCGAAAUGGUGAUGUUGUUGGAAUAUGCAAAAAUUCCUGAAUGGCGUCCGUUGGGACGGAUGGUUCGUAUGUUAGCGUUAGUGGGUAGUGGAGAACUAGGGUAUCUCGGUCUUUCCAUGUGCUUGCUUGUUCGUGUUAUGCUUUGACUUGGCGUAGGGUUCCGUAGUGCUCGUUGUUGUGGCUUUUCCUUGCCUGAAGAGAGGAUUUUGAGCAAAGCUGCAGGCUUUAUGUUUUUUUCGAUUUUGGGAAUAUCGCGGGAUUUGGACUACGUCCGUUAGGGACUACACGUCUGCCCCUCUAGCAGGGAAUUUUUUCGAUUGCUUUAGGGAUGAACGAGUCCCUCACAGUGAUUGUCGUCCAUCUGCUUCACUUUGUCAGCAAGUCGUGUUCUUCAGUCAUCUGCUGAUCAUUUUAGGAUGGAAAAUCUCACCUAGAGUUCCAUUU